rnacentral:rRNA from 1 species
CCUACGGGGGGCUGCAGUGGGGAAUAUUGGACAAUGGGCGAAAGCCUGAUCCAGCCAUGCCGCGUGUGUGAAGAAGGCCUUCGGGUUGUAAAGCACUUUCAGUGGGGAAGAAAGCCUUGGGGCUAAUACCCUCGAGGAAGGACAUCACCCACAGAAGAAGCACCGGCUAACUCCGUGCCAGCAGCCGCGGUAAUACGGAGGGUGCGAGCGUUAAUCGGAAUUACUGGGCGUAAAGCGCGCGUAGGCGGUCUGAUAAGCCGGUUGUGAAAGCCCCGGGCUCAACCUGGGAACGGCAUCCGGAACUGUCAGGCUAGAGUGCAGGAGAGGAAGGUAGAAUUCCCGGUGUAGCGGUGAAAUGCGUAGAGAUCGGGAGGAAUACCAGUUGCGAAGGCGGCCUUCUGGACUGACACUGACGCUGAGGUGCGAAAGCGUGGGUAGCAAACAGGAUUAGAUACCCCUGUAGUC